rnacentral:misc_RNA from 1 species
AGGAAAUGAAGCGGCAACUCGAUGACUUUGCACGCAAACGUAACCUGUACGACAGGUCUUGCUGAAACGUGCUUGCACCAGCAACAACGCAGGACCAUCCAACAGAAGGACUACGCAGAUUCACUGCAAAUUUACAGCCGCUUCGUGUCCACUGCGACUUCUCUAAGACUAGCACCUCAUUAUUGAGACUCCAGGCACUCAUCCAACUCACCCAGCGUCUCGGGGUGCAAGUGCAGUAACUCCGUUGUUCCUACAAGGGGUAUUCUGCACGUACGAAUGCCUUGACCCCUCCGCCCCACCCCAGUUCCUGGUCACACCUUUGCGGUCUUCCCGUUUUUUAAAGCGUCAACAGAAAUAAAAAGACCACCUUCUUCCAGU